rnacentral:rRNA from 1 species
GACGAACGCUGGCGGCGUGCCUAAUACAUGCAAGUCGAACGCACUCUCGUUUAGAUUGAAGGAGCUUGCUCCUGAUUGAUAAACAUUUGAGUGAGUGGCGGACGGGUGAGUAACACGUGGGUAACCUGCCCUAAAGUGGGGGAUAACAUUUGGAAACAGAUGCUAAUACCGCAUAAAACCUAAACACCGCAUGGUGUAGGGUUGAAAGAUGGUUUCGGCUAUCACUUUAGGAUGGACCCGCGGUGCAUUAGUUAGUUGGUGAGGUAAAGGCUCACCAAGACCGUGAUGCAUAGCCGACCUGAGAGGGUAAUCGGCCACACUGGGACUGAGACACGGCCCAGACUCCUACGGGAGGCAGCAGUAGGGAAUCUUCCACAAUGGACGAAAGUCUGAUGGAGCAACGCCGCGUGAGUGAAGAAGGUUUUCGGAUCGUAAAACUCUGUUGUUGGAGAAGAAUGUAAUCUGAUAGUAACUGAUCAGGUAGUGACGGUAUCCAACCAGAAAGCC